CGAACGUUAGCGGCGCGCCUAACACAUGCAAGUCGCACGAGAAAGGAGCAAUCCCCGGUACAGUGGCGCACGGGUGAGUAACACGUAGAUGACCUUCCCUGGAGUGGUGGAUAACCUGCCGAAAGGCGGGCUAAUACAGCAUGGGACCACAUGGUUUUGACCGAGUGGUGAAAGCGGGCCUCUGUUCACAAGCUCGCGCUCUGGGAUGGGUCUGCGUCCCAUCAGCUAGUUGGUGAGGUAAUGGCUCACCAAGGCAUCGACGGGUAGCUGGUCUGAGAGGAUGACCAGCCACACUGGAACUGAGACACGGUCCAGACUCCUACGGGAGGCAGCAGUGGGGAAUCUUGCGCAAUGGGCGAAAGCCUGACGCAGCGACGCCGCGUGGGUGAUGAAGGCCUUCGGGUUGUAAAGCCCUGUGGGGAGGAACGAACCGUACGGGGGCGAACACCCUCCGUACCUGACGGUACCUCCUUAGCAAGCAUCGGCUAACUCUGUG
rnacentral:rRNA from 1 species